rnacentral:rRNA from 1 species
GAUGAACGCUAGCGGCAGGCCUAAUACAUGCAAGUCGAACGGCAGCGCGGGUAGCAAUACCUGGCGGCGAGUGGCGCACGGGUGCGUAACACGUAUGCAACCUACCUAUAACUGGGAAAUAGCUCGGAGAAAUUCGAAUUAAUGUCCCAUAGGAUCUUAGAGUGGCAUCACUUAGAGAUUAAAGAUUUAUCGGUUAUAGAUGGGCAUGCGGAUGAUUAGCUAGUUGGUAAGGUAACGGCUUACCAAGGCUACGAUCAAUAGGGGGUCUGAGAGGAGGAGCCGCCACACUGGUACUAGAAAACGGACCAGACUCCUACGGGAGGAAGGAGUAGGGAAUAUUGGGGAAUGGAGGCAGCUCUGACCCAGCCAUGCCGCGUGAAGGAAGAAGGCGUUAUGCGUUGUAAACUUCUUUUAUAUGGGAAGAAACGACCCUUGCGAGGGGCAUUGACGGUACCAUAUGAAUAAGCACCGGCUAACUCCGUGCCAGCCGCCGCGGUAAAAC